rnacentral:piRNA from 1 species
UCUUCGUGUCUACGGUUGUGCCUGCUGGA